CCAGACUCCUACGGGAGGCAGCAGUGGGGGAUAUUGCACAAUGGGGGAACCCUGAUGCAGCGACGCCGCGUGGGUGAAGAAGCGCCUCGGCGCGUAAAGCCCUGUCAGCAGGGAAGAAAAUGACGGUACCUGACCAAGAAGCCCCGGCUAACUACGUGCCAGCAGCCGCGGUAAUACGUAGGGGGCAAGCGUUAUCCGGAUUUACUGGGUGUAAAGGGAGCGUAGACGGCAGCGCAAGUCUGGAGUGAAAUGCCGGGGCCCAACCCCGGAACUGCUUUGGAAACUGUGCAGCUCGAGUGCAGGAGAGGUAAGCGGAAUUCCUAGUGUAGCGGUGAAAUGCGUAGAUAUUAGGAGGAACACCAGUGGCGAAGGCGGCUUACUGGACUGUAACUGACGUUGAGGCUCGAAAGCGUGGGGAGCAAACAGGAUUAGAUACCCCAGUAGUU
rnacentral:rRNA from 1 species